rnacentral:rRNA from 1 species
GGGUGCGACCAUAACAGCACUAAAGCACCGGAUCCCAUCAGAACUCCGAAGUUAAGCGUGCUUGGGUGAGAGUAGUACUAGGAUGGGUGACCCCCUGGAAAGUCCUCGUGUUGCACCCA